UCCGACCUCAGAUCAGACGAGACUACCCGCUGAAUUUAAGCAUAUCACUAAGCGGAGAA
rnacentral:rRNA from 1 species